CAUCUGUAUAACACCUACAAACAAAAGAAACAAUGAAUUAGUGUGACAGUUCACUUAAUGGCGGCUAUUUCAGUCUGCCCUUCACAGUUUACCACCUGUUUUUUUUUUUAACUCCCUUUUCUUGAAUCUUUGUUAUAGAUUCUGGUAGCUUUUUAUGUGCAAAUAUCAUUAUUGUUAUAUAUGUUUUAUAUAUCGUUACUUCCUAUGUCAAUGAGCUUUACUGCCUGUGUUUUUAUGCAAAAAAUAAAAAGAGUGUGUGUGUUUGGAUGGUUGAGAGAUCUGGAGGCAGCGGUUCAUCGGUCUGUUCCCCGUAAAGCACAAAAUAAAGCAGCAGGAAGUGAUCGAUAAACCUCUGCAUCCAGCGCUCUUAAACCCCCCCUAACAUUGGUUUUUUCCAUGUCGCCUCCUUUUUUAAGAAAAAAUUCUGAAAAACAAACUUCUUUUUAAAUGCUACCAGCUCAUGUAUGUCCAAGACAGGUAGAACCAUAAGGGCAACUAGUUAUACCGUUUAGCUAUGCAAGAGAGGAAUUUAUGAUAACCGAUGCAUCUCCUGCUCUCACCUGGAAAAAGAGGGCUUCAUUGUCACUUUAUUUGGAUUGUGGGAAUCUUUUCUCUCGUUUGGUCAUUUUGGGGUUGAUUUUUGUUGGAUUUUUUUAAUGUAUAUGUAGAGUUUGAUGUUUUUCUGAUCAUCGGUAUAAAAUUCUGAUGAACAUUAUUUGCAAUAACCUAUGUUACAUUUUGGUUUACCUAUGAUUAAAAAUGUAAAAACAUUUGUCUCUCUUCCCAAUUUUACUGAAUUAUUGGGUUCAACGUA